rnacentral:rRNA from 1 species
GCCUACGGGACGCAGCAGUGAGGAAUAUUGGUCAAUGGGCGCGAGCCUGAACCAGCCAAGUCGCGUGAGGGAAGACGGUCCUAUGGAUUGUAAACCUCUUUUGUCGGGGAGCAAAAGACGCCACGCGUGGCGUUCCGAGAGUACCCGAAGAAAAAGCAUCGGCUAACUACGUGCCAGCAGCCGCGGUAAUACGUAGGGGGCGAGCGUUAUCCGGAUUUACUGGGUGUAAAGGGAGCGUAGACGGUUCUGCAAGUCUGAAGUGAAAGCCCGUGGCUUAACCGCGGAACGGCUUUGGAAACUGUGGA